AACCAUGGCUUUACAAAUUAUCUCCCUCGCCAAUCUCUCCAGCAUUGUCUUAUUCCGUCUCCAUGCACGGUGGUCCGUGCACGAAUUAGGGUUUCGUGUCUCGCAUCGUGGCUAUGUUUGAGAGGGGUAGAGAGAUAUUGAGAAGGGCAGAGAAAUUGAUGGCAAUCCUGAUUUUUCGAACAAGGACGUUGGAGCAUCUCAGACACAGAUGUUAGCGGAAGUGAAAUCCGGCAUAAUGUCUUCUUUAAAUCAAGUGGAGCUCCCGCUAGAGGUUGCAACGCCAUCAAAUUCUGGAAAUCAUACUCACCUGUUAUCUGAGAGUAUCGUUAAUCAUGAUUGUUGAGUGAGGGUGUUAAUACAACCUUUUUUGACACUGGCAUGGAUGCUCAAGAACCUCUUGAUGUUGUGCCUGACGCUCUCCGCCAUAAACUGGGACAUCGUUUCACAACAACGAGUUUAUGAGGAUUUUGUUAGGCUUCCGUUGUAAAAUCAAAAUAGCCAAGCUGCACAGUCUAUUGGUUGUUCCUUCUUUCCCCUCGGCUGCUUCAGCCCCUGAGCUACAUGCAGUUGACACAUCUGACAGUAUAAAGGAACCUGUAUCCUCUACCCAGCACUUGCCCUCACCAAUCACUAUCGAUCGGCUUGCAACUUCUAUGUCUGAACCCUCAUUUACUACUAGAGAUGCAUUGGAUAAAUUUCAAGUUAUUUCUCAGAAGUGCUAAGACUUUGCAAGAUGUUGAAGAGGUUCCUGAACAUAAAGGAUUAUUACUUUCAAGGACUCCUAUUGAACUGAAAGGCGCAUGUUGGUCAGUUAAAGUAGUUCUGUGGAUUGGGGGUAGAAUACUUUCUAUGACCCACCUUCCUUCAGGGAUACAAUGGCUCCAAGGCAUAAUUGAAAUCAAUGGUAUGAAAAGUACAGUGGUGCGAAGUACUCAUCUGCUGGAUUUACGAAGUAAUAUAGCAUCAUUAAGUAAAUUCUCAAACCCUUGCGUGAAUAAUCUCAAUACUUCAUUCUGAAUAUGAACUCGUAGUAUAGAAGUCUAUGUUUGUUGACAAGUGAAAUAAUUGAUAAAUGUUUUUCUUAAACUUUAGGGGAGUAUUUGUUUAUAGAAUUCAAUAAAUUGAAAUGUAUACUUGAGUGGUAUUACUUAUACAUUCUUAAGAGUAGAAUAGGAAUUUACUCCCAAGUCAAAGCUACAUAAAUGUUCAAGUUAGCUUUUGUUUGUUUUGUUUUUUAUAAUGAAAAUCCUAGCUUUCAUUUGAGAUCAAAUGAAAGAAAACAAAGUAACAUAAGAAAAACCAAAAAAGGGGUCCGAGUAAGCAACAAAGAAGACCUAAAGGGUAAUUAAUAGACACUUUUAUAUAACUUUUUUUAGAGAGAAAAUAGAACUUUUCAUUGAUAAAAUGAAAAGAAAACAAUAAGAAAAAGAAAGACAACAAUAGAUAAGCGACCACAACCUAAUAUAAAACAAAGAUCAACCAUGAAAGAUAUAAAAACUCCCAAUUCAGACAAUAGAGUAGCCAACUAGAUUAAGUUUAAUAUAAUGCAUGAAGAGAUUUACCAUGGACAAUAAAUGAAUGUUGCCUUGAUGCGUGACAUUGGACUCAAAGUAUUUCAUUGAAGAAAUUUUGUCAUUCUUUAGAUAAAGGAUUAUCAAUGUGAACUAAGUGCUCAAGUAUUACAUUAAGUGAUAUGUCAUAGGCAUGGACAAGGGAAGAUAGCAUUGGAUUAAAGCGUGAAUUUGGACUAUAGUUCUUUAUUAAAGAAUUCUUCUCAUUCUUUGAAUAAAUGAUUAGCCAAUUGAACAAAGUGUUGAGAUAGUUCACUAAGUGAUUUGCCAUGGACACGAAGAUGGGAAAAUAACAAUAGACCAUGCAACUGAAUUAGGAAAAGGACACUUGUGAAGGACUAUUAAGUAGAAUGAUGUAUGUAAUGAGAAAGGAAGAUAAGUUGAGAUACAUGAAUUUUGGAUUGAGGAGUGAGAUUGGACUACAAUUUUUCGAUUAAAGAAGUCCUUUCAUUCUUUGAAAAAAAGAUUAGUCAAUUGGGUUAAGUGUUAAUAAAAGGCACGAAGUGAUCUGCUUUGUUCAUGAAUUUGGGAAAAGAAGAUGAUUUAUGGAAAUAACAUUUAGAAAAGGGUCAUGGAGAUCUAUUAAAUGGAAGAAACAUAAGUUAGGAAUGAGAAUUUUCGAUUAAAGUGUGACAUUGGACUUUAAGUUUUUGAUUGAAAAACUCUAGGUCAUGGAUUUGGAUAUGGUAAUAUAAUACUAGACUACAUAAGUUAAAUAGAAAAAAAUGCACAUGGAGGACUAUUUAUGCCCAUGUAUGUUGUGAGGAAGGAAGAUGAAUUAGGUUACAAGAAUUUUGGAUUAAAGGUCGAGAUUAAUGAAUUGGAUGAAUCGUUUAUAUAAGAGAUGAAAUGUUUUGCAGUGGACAUGGAUAUGCGAUAAAAAAGUUUGGUUAUACAUAUGAAAUUGGAAAAGGACAUGGAUUACUGUUGAUUGCACAAACAAAAGAAAUUUUAGAAUACAUAAGUUUUAAAUAGAAGUGUGGCAUUACUUCAAGUUUUGUAUUAAAAAUCUCUUGCAAUUCUUUGGGCAAAGGAUUAUCAAAUUGGAUUAAGUACUAAGAUAGUGCAUUAAGUGAUUUGUCAUGGACAUAUGAGAGGAUAACAAUACACCACGCCACUGAAUGAGGAAAAGGAUACAUAUAAGAUUAGCUUUUAUUCAAUUAUAAGUUUUUGAUUACACAAGUCUUUUCAUUUAUUGAAAUAAGAUUAGUCAAUUGAGUUUAAUGUUAAUAUAAUUCACGAAGUGACUAGCCUUAGUCAUGGAAGAAAAAAAUGGCUAUAGAAAUGAAAUUGAGAAAUAUAAACCAAACCAAGGACUAUAGACAACAAAAAAAAAGAGAAGUUAGGAUAAGAGAGUUUUGUAUUAAAGUGUGGCAUUGUGUGAGCUUCAAAUUUUGGAUUAAAGAACUUUUGUCAUUGUAUGGAAAAAGGAUUAUCAAAUUGGAUUAAGUGUGAAGACGACACAUUAAGAGUGAGAUUAACUAAUUAAAUUAAGUUUUUACUCGGGAUUAGGUAAGAUCCUAUAGACAUGAUUAUACAAAAAAAGAUUUGCUAUGCAAACAUAAUUGGAAAAAGACACAUGGAUAACUAUAAACAACACAAAAAGAAAAGUAAGGAUAUGCGAGUUUUGGAUGGACAUUGGAUAUAAUGUUUUGUAUUAAAGACUCUUGCCAUUGUUUGGAAAAAGAAUUACCAAAUUGGAUUAAGUGUUGGGAUGGUGCGCUAAGCUUAAGUUUUUACUUAAGGGAUUAGAUGAGAUCCAUGGACAUGGUUAUAGGAAAAAAAGUUCAAUUAUGCAAAUAUAAUUGGAAAAAGAGACAUGAAGGACUAUAGAUGACACGAAAAGAAAAUGUAGGAUACGAGAGUUUUGGAUUCAAAUAUGGUAUUGGAUGUCAAGUUUACAUUUGAGUAACUCUUGGCAUUGUUUGUAGAAAUGAUUAUAAAAUUGGAUUUAGUGCUGAUAUAGUGCUGUAAGAGUAAUAACCAAUUGGAUUAAGUUUUUGUUUGACAGAUGAGGUUAUUAUUUACCAUGGACAUGGAUAUAGGAAGAAAAGUUCGGCUAUACAAAUGACAUUGGAAAAAUACACAUUAAGGACUAUAGACAUCACAAAAAAGGAAAGGAUAGUGGAUUAAGAGUGAGAUAAACCUAUUACAUAAAACUUUUAUUUGAGGAAUAAGGUGUUUUGCCAUGAAGAUGGUUAUAGGAAAAAUGUUUGGUUAUACAAAUGAAAUUGGAAGAAGACACAUUGGAGACUAUAACUGACACAAAAAAAAAGUUAGAAUAUGAGUUUUGGAUCGAAGUGUGGCAUUGAACUUCAAGUUAUAAAUUAAAGAACUCUUGUCAUUUGGAGAAAGGAUUAUUAAAUUGGAUAAUUCUUAAGAUAGGGUAUUAUGAGUUAGUUUAGCCACUUGGAUUAAGUUUUUCGUUAAAGGAUGAGAGUGAUUUGCUUUGGACAUAGAUAUAUGAAAAGAAUUUUGGUAAUAACAUUGUGAAAAUACAUAUAGAGGGCUAUAGAUGACAGAAAAAGGAAAGUAAGGAUAUGAGAUUUUGGAAUGAAGUUUGACAUUGGACUUAAAGUUUAAGAUUAAAUAACUAUUGUCAUUGUUUGGAGAAACAAUUAUUCAAAUUGAUUAAUUAUUGAGAUAGUGCACUAAGACGAAAUUUGCCUAUUGGAUUAAGUUUUUAUUUGAUGAUGAGAUGAUUAGCUACGGACAUGGAUAUAGGAAAAAACAUUAGAUGUUCAACUAAAAUUGGAAACAGAUGCAUAGAAGAUUGUUGAUGAUGCAAAAGGAAAAGUUAGGAUAUAAGAGUUUUGGAUUAAAGUGUGACACUUUACUUCAAAUUUAGGAAUAAGGAGGUGAUUGUCAUCUUUUGGAGAAAAGAUUAUCAAAUUGAACGAGUGUUGAGGGAGUAGGGAAGGAAGAAAAGUAGAAAUGAGAAAAUACCAAAAUAAAAGACAAGAAAUAUCAAGAAAAGUGAGACGAUGGUGAUGGUUAUUGAUCCGGUUUUUAGCAUAGUAUUGUACCAAAAAGUCUAUAUUACCCAUCAUUACCCUAGAGCCGGACUAGGGUAAUGAUGGGUAAUAAAUACAUUUUGGUACCAUCAUCUACUAAAAGCCAAAUCAAUAAACAUGACCGCCUUCUCAAUUUUCAUGUUUUUUCUUGUCUUUUAUUUGGGCAUUUUCUUUUCCAGUUUCUUACUUCAACUAGCCAAUUGGAUUAAGUUUUUAUUUAAGAGAUAUUUGAUUUGUCAUGGACAAGUAUAUAGUAAAAAAAGUUUGGCUAGACAAAUGAAAUUCGUGAAAAUCAAAUGGAUGACUAUAAAUGGUACAAAAAUAAAAGUAAGGAUAUACGAGUUUUAGAUGAAAGAAUUCUUGCCAUUGUUUGAAGAAAUGAUUAUUCAAUUUGAUUAAGUGUUGAGAUAGUGCAUUAAGAGUGAGACUUGCCUACUAGAUUAAGUUUUUAUUUGAGAGAUGAGGUGAAUUGUCAUGGACAUGAAUAUAGGAAAAAAACGUUUGGAUAUACAAAUAAAAUUGGAAACAGUUACAUGAAGGACUAUAGAUGACACAAAAUGAAAAGUUAGUAUAUGAGAGUUUUGGAUUGAAGUUUUGCAUAAAAUAAGUUCUUGCUAUUGGUUGGAUAAUGAAUUAUUAAAUUGGAUUAAGUAUUAAGACGAUGAACUAGAAGUGACACUAUCCAAUUGGAUCGAAUUUUUAUUGAAGGGGUGUGGUGUUUCGUCGUUGUAAUGGAUAUAAGAAAAAAAGUUUGGCUAUACAAAUAAAGUUGAAGAAAGACACGUUGAGGACAAUAGACGGGCCAAAAAGAAAAAUAUGGUUUGAGGUAUGACAUUGGAUUUGAAGUCUUGGAUUAAAGAACUUCUACAAUUGUUUGGAUAAAAGUAUGAAAUUGGAUUAAAUGUUGAGAUAGUGCACUGAAAGUUAGAUUAGUCUACUGGAUUAAGUUUUAAUUAAUGGAAUGAGAUCAUUUGCUUUGGACAUGGUUAUAGAAAAAAACAUUGUACAAUACAAAUGAAAUUGGAAAAAGACACAUGAGUGACUAUAAACGACAUAAAAAGGAACUAUUGGAUAUGAGAGCUUUUGAUUGAUGUGUGGCAUACGAGUAAAAAUUUAGGAUUGAAGAACUCUUGCCAUUAUUUGGAGAAAGGAUUAUUAAAUUAGAUUAGUGUUGAGAUAAUGCUCUAAAAAUGUAAUUAGCCAAUUCAAUCAAGAUUUUAUUUAUGGGAUAAGGUGAUUUUUCGUAGAGAUGGAUAUAAGACUUCAAGUUUUGAAUUAAGGAAUAACUCUUGCCAUUGUUUGAAGAAAUGAUUAUCAAAAGACACAUGAAGGACUAUAAAUGACACAUAAAGGAAAGUAAGGAUACAUGAGUUUUUAUUGAAGUGUGGCAUUUAACUUCAAGUGUUGCAUUAAAGAACCCUUGCCGUUUGGAGAAAAGAUUAUUAAAUUGGUGUUAAGAUAGGUACACUAUGAAUCGAUUUAGGCUUUGUGAUUUUGAAUUAAAGUGUGAUAUUUGACUAUAAGUUUUGAACUAAAGAACGUUUGCCAUUGUUUGUCGAAACAAUUAAAAAAUUGGAUUAGGUGUUGAAAUAGUGUACUAGGAGUGAGAUUAGUCUACUAGAUUAAGUUUUAAUUUGAGGGAUUAAGUUUUUUGCCAUGGACAUGGAUAUAAGAAUAGAACGUUUGACUAUACAAAUGAAAUUGGAAAAAGACAUGUAGAGAACUAUAGACAGCCCAUAAAGAAAAGUUUGCACAUGAGUGUUUUGGAUUAAAGAACUUUUGUCAUCCUUUAACGAAAUAAUUAUCAAAUUGGAUUAGUGUUGACAUAGUGCACUAUAAAGUGAGAUUAGUCAAUGGAAUUAAGUUUUUAUUAAAGGGACGAGGUGAUUUGUUGUGAACGUGGAUAUAGGAAAAAACAUUCGACUAUACAAAUGAAAAUUAUGAAAAGACUCAUGGGGGAUUUCCGGUGGCACAAAAGGAUAAAUCAGGAUAUGCGAGUUUUGGAUUGUAGUGUGACAUUAAACUUUAAGUUUAAAAUUAUACAUCUCUUGUAAUUGUUUGGAGAAAGGAUUAUCAAAGUUGGUUGGUUUUGAUAUAGUGCACUAAGUGUCAGAUUAGCCAAUUAGAUUAUAUUUUUAUUUAAGGGCGAAUGAUGAUUUGUUGUGGACAUUAAUAUUGGAAAAAUUAUUUGGUUAUACAAAUGACAUUGAAAAAAGACACAUGAUGGACUAUAAAAGGCUCAAAGAGAAAAGUUGAGAUAUGUGACUUUUGGAUUGAAGUGUGAAAUUGAAGUUUAAUUUAAAAUUAUCUCUUGCUAUUGUUUGGAGAAAAGAUUAACAAAUUGGAUUAGUAAUGUUAGUACACUAAAAGUGAGAGGAGCUAAUUGGAUUAAGUUUUUUUAAGAAGGUGUUUCGCAUGGGCCAUGGAUAUACAGAAAAAAGUUUGGCUACACAAAUGACAUAGGAAAAGGACACAUAGAGGACUCAAAGACCAAACAAAAAGAAAGUUAAAAAGAUGAAUCUUGAAUUGAAGUGUGACAUUGGAUUCUUAGUUUAGGAUUAAAUGACUCAUGCCAUUUUUUUUUAAACAUGUGGAAUGUGGCAUUAGCAUCACACUUAAAGCUUUUAGUGAAGUAUGACAUUGGCCAUUUAGUUUAUGAUUAAAGUCUCUUUUUAGUUGAUAGUAUAUGAGACUUAAAGCUCAAAGUACAAGAAUAUUGUACUAAGAGCAAAUGAACUAGGGGAAUACAAACUAAAAUGAAAACUUAGGCAACAACUAGAAGAAAGCGUGCAAAAACAAAGUCAAAGAGAAAUGUAACAAACGACAUAAAGCAUUUUCAAGACAAAACAACUGUAGAAAGCUAAAAAGAUAGCAAAAAUUUGACAACUCUUCAAGAGGAAACCAUUUGAAUAUAAUAACUUGCACGCUCAAAUCUUCAAUAUGAAAGGAAAACGAGACAUGCAAAGGAGAAGCUGCUGGUUGCGUUAGAACGGUUCUUGUAAGUGUCAUCCUGAACUCAAAGGAAAUCCAAUAAAUAUUUUAGAACAAACAAAAAUUGAUUCCUAAAGAACUCCCCCGAAAAAACUUCCCUUGGGCAAACAAUAAAAAUGAAGACCAAAACAUAAAAGCCAUAUCAAGUAAGUUACCAUAAUCCAGAAGGCUUAAAUUUAUCCAUCCACGCAAGAGAAAUUUGGAUUAAAGAACUUUUGCCAUUAUUUGGAGAAAAGAGUAUCGAAUUGGAUCAAGUUGUUAUUUAAUGGAUAUGUGUUUUUUUUGUGGAUUUGGAUAUAGCUAUAGAUAUUUGGCUAGACAACUAAAAAAGAAAAGUUAAGUUAUGUGAUUUCUGUAUUGAAUAACAUUUCUCUACAUGUUUUGGAUUAAAGAACUUUUGUCAUUGUUUGUCGAAAGAAUUAUAAUAUUGGAUUUGGUGUUGAGAUAGUGCACUAGGAGUGAGAUUAGCUAUAAUUGAAUAAAGUUUUUAUGUACGAGAUUUCCCAUAGACAUGGAUAUAGGUAAAAAAGGUCAGCGAUACAAAUGUAAUUGGUAAAAAGAUACAAGGACGACUAUAAACAACACAAGAAGAAAAGUAAAUAUAUUCAAGUUUCAGAAUGAAGUGUGGCAUUGGACUCCAAGUUUUGGAUUAGAGAACUCUUGCAAUGUUUGGAGGAAAGAUUAUUCAAUUUGUUUAAACUGUUGAAAUAGUGCACUAAUAGUAAAAUUAGCCCAUUAGAUUAAGUUUUUAUUUGAGGAAAAACGUGAUUUGUUGUGGUUGUGGAUAUAAGGAAAAAAGUUUGGCCAUACAAAUGAAAUUGAGAAAAGACACAAGGACUGUGGGUGGCAAAAAAUGAUAAGUUAGGAUAUACGAGUUUUGGAUUGUAAUGUGGCAUUAGACUUCAUGUUUUGGAUUAAAGAACUGUUGCCAUUGUUUGGAAAAAAAAUUAUCAACCAUUAUCAAAUUGGAUUAAGUUAUGAGAUGAUGCACUAAGUGUGAGAUUAGCCAAUUGGAUUAAGUUUUUACUUGAGGGAUUAGAUGAGAUCCCAUGGACAUGGUUAUAGGAAAAAAAAAAAGCUUCGUUAUUCAAAUAUAAUUGGAAAAAGCGACAUGGAGGACCGUAAACGACA